rnacentral:rRNA from 1 species
UACGUAGGGUGCGAGCGUUAAUCGGAAUUACUGGGCGUAAAGCGUGCGCAGGCGGCGCCGCAAGUCAGGCGUGGAAUCCCCGAGCUUAACUUGGGAAUGGCGCUUGAAACUACGGUGCUGGAGUGUGGCAGAGGGAGGUGGAAUUCCACGUGUAGCGGUGAAAUGCGUAGAGAUGUGGAGGAACACCGAUGGCGAAGGCAGCCUCCUGGGCCAACACUGACGCUCAUGCACGAAAGCGUGGGGAGCAAACAGG